rnacentral:rRNA from 1 species
ACUCCUACGGGAGGCAGCAGUGGGGAAGUAUUGCACAAUGGGCGCAAGCCUGAUGCAGCAACGCCGUGUGAGUGAAGAAGGUUUUCGGAUCGUAAACUCUGUCCUAAGGGAAGAAAAAAUGACGGUACCUUAGGAGGAAGCCCCGGCUAACUACGUGCCAGCAGCCGCGGUAAUACGUAGGGGGCAAGCGUUAUCCGGAAUCACUGGGCGUAAAGGGUGCGUAGGCGGCUUAGCAAGCCAGGGUGAAAGGCAUUGGCUCAACCAAUGUAAGCCUUUGGAACUGUUAAGCUUUGAGUGCAGGAGAGGUAAGUGGAAUUCCUAGUGUAGAGGUGAAAUUCGUAGAUAUUAGGAGGAACACCAGUGGCGAAGGCGACUUACUGGACUGUAACUGACGCUGAUGCACGAAAAGCGUGGGUAGC